rnacentral:rRNA from 1 species
CAUCCUGGUGGCGAGUGGCGAACGGGUGAGUAAUAUAUCGGAACGUGCCCAAUCGUGGGGGAUAACGCAGCGAAAGCUGUGCUAAUACCGCAUGCGAUCUACGGAUGAAAGCGGGGGACUCGCAAGAGCCUCGCGCGAAUGGAGCGGCCGAUAUCAGAUUAGCUAGUUGGUGGGGUAAAAGCUCACCAAGGCGACGAUCUGUAGCUGGUCUGAGAGGACGACCAGCCACACUGGAACUGGGACACGGUCCAGACUCCUACGGGAGGCAGCAGUGGGGAAUUUUGGACAAUGGGCGCAAGCCUGAUCCAGCAAUGCCGCGUGCAGGAUGAAGGCCUUCGGGUUGUAAACUGCUUUUGUACGGAACGAAACCGUCUUCUCUAAUAAAGAGGGCUAAUGACGGUACCGUAAGAAUAAGCACCGGCUAACUACGUGCCAGCAGCCGCGGUAAUACGUAGGGUGCGAGCGUUAAUCGGAAUUACUGGGCGUAAAGCGUGCGCAGGCGGAGAUGUAAGACAGAUGUGAAAUCCCCGGGCUCAACCUGGGACCUGCAUUUGUGACUGCAUCGCUAGAGUACGGUAGAGGGGGAUGGAAUUCCGCGUGUAGCAGUGAAAUGCGUAGAUAUGCGGAGGAACACCGAUGGCGAAGGCAAUCCCCUGGACCUGUACUGACGCUCAUGCACGAAAGCGUGGGGAGCAAACAGGAUUAGAUACCCUGGUAGUCCACGCCCUAAACGAUGUCAACUGGUUGUUGGGUCUUUGCUGACUCAGUAACGAAGCUAACGCGUGAAGUUGACCGCCUGGGGAGUACGGCCGCAAGGUUGAAACUCAAAGGAAUUGAC